GGUAACAGAAUGGGUCCUCAUCUCAGGAUGUUUCCAAAAUUGCACCAUGUCCUGAAAGUGACCCCUCUUGCGGAGACCUGAGGCUUCUUCAGCUGAAGCCAGAUGCAAACCCUGGGAAGUGUAUUUGAAUACCUACCAGGUCAUGGUUUGGAAACCUGGGGACUUACUGUCAAAAUGUAGGACCCUUUCUCCUCUGGUAUGAGGUGGGGAACGAGGUUCCACAUUUCCUUGUCACAAGCUCCUGUCUCCUCCUAUGGAUCCCCACCCAGACUACAUCACAUUUGACAUCCAGCUAACCAAGCAGGGCUGGACGGACCCUACACCACUUGUUAAGCAAGGACUCCUUUCAGCUGCUUAGUAACCCAAGCUCUUCCCCACUCCUCUACGGGAGCCAAGCACGCAGCCUCAGUGGUGCACAGAGCUUGGGGAAAGAACAUGGCUUUGUGAGUCUGGCUUAACUAGUGGACUUCAAACCCAGGUCGAAUUUUAGUUUAGUUUUGAUUUUCGGACACUCAUCCUUAAAUAAUCUGUUCUUUGCAGAUGCAAUAGGCUGUACUGAACCUGUUUGGUCUGUGCAAACUACUGGAAGGUUUCAUGAGCCUCUCUGUGUGGUGAGGGAGGAGCGGUAGACAGACAGAAGCAGUGUGAGCUUCACCACCAAGUCCCAUUGAUGUGGCUGACCUGGAUGGACCAUCUCCAGGAGUAAUACAGUACAGAGGAAAGCUGCUGAGGUCCUUGACUGCUUUGGAGAAGAUGCUGUAAGGAGUGCGAGGACUAGGAGGCAGGGUAUUACACAGACAGGGCUGAAGAGUUACCUGGCAGUCUGCAGGAACAGGACUGUGUUUUCCCCUUCAUAACUCUGGACGUCCAGAUCUGAGCUGUAAUCUCUGUGGGCCUUGGGCAAAUCAUUUAACAUCGUAGUCCUUCAUUUUCCCAUCUGUCUAGUGGGGUGCUUUGUAAAUUAUUUGAGAGAUCUAGGGAUUAAAAUGCACAGUGUGUGCAAAUAAUAGUAACAAUUAUUUUUUUAU